UACGUAGGGGGCAAGCGUUGUCCGGAAUCAUUGGGCGUAAAGUGCGUGUAGGCGGCCCGGUAAGUCCGCUGUGAAAGUCCAGGGCUCAACCCUGGGAUGCCGGUGGAUACUGUCGGGCUCGAGUCCGGAAGAGGCGAGUGGAAUUCCUGGUGUAGCGGUGAAAUGCGCAGAUAUCAGGAGGAACACCAAUAGCGAAGGCAGCUCGCUGGGACGUUACUGACACUGAGGCGCGAAAGCGUGGGGAGCAAACGG
rnacentral:rRNA from 1 species